GAUGCUGCUCAUGUGAAGGGCGCUUCUGACACUGGCCCUCAGAAGGCCAUGGGCUCACCAAGGGCUGCCAGUUCGCAGAAGUCCCUCACCUUUGUUCCACACCUGCUGACUUUCUAAACUUCUGUCCUCUGGACUGUGCUAGGUACACAUGACAGCACCUUGGCAGCCAUGUCUUUCAGAGCCCCAUUAUGCGAUGCCAUGGCCCUAGAAGCAGAAGGAACCAUCAAAGAACCAGGCUAAAGGACUUUGGGACCAACAGGCAUUCAGGAAUGUGCCUGGCCAGGAGCUAAGGGGCCACCAGCUGACAAGAGUUGCCACCAGACACGCCAGGUAGAAGAUGUCAGCUGGCAAUGGCCAUGCCGGCCUAAGAUACCUCUGUGGAGUGAACAAUGUAGCCCAGAAGAGCCAGCACAGAUCCCUCCCACCUAUCAGCCCUGUCUUCCCCCAUCUUGAUGCAUGUCCCAGUAUGAUUCUCAGUGGCCAUUGGAAUAUUGCAGUUGCAAGCAAAGGUGACUUCAGCUGGGGGAUUUGUCACUCGCUUUCGUGUGAAGAGACCACCAAACAGGCUUUGUGUGAGCAAUAAAGCCUUUUAAUCACCUGGAGUCUUACUGAAGACCGUAAAUGGAGGUCUACAGCCCAGGAGCAGCCCCCUAGAGAAGUUCCAUCAGACAAUUCUGAAACAGGGCUUCAGCCAACAGUUUAUAUAUGAAGUGUGGAGGUUCAGUAUGUGCAAAAUCACAUCACACUUGCUCGGAAAUUACAGUAAAGCAGAAGCACGUGAAGGUUUGGGUGUAAGAAUCCACCUGGUUAUAGAUGACAGAAGCAUCAUCACUAACCCCAGCAGGCAUCAUCUUAUGUGCAGCAGGAAGCAGGGACUAGGAUGGUUUAUCUUUUAAGGAACAUGGUGGCUCAGGCCAGAGACGUGGGGGCCGUGCGGCACUCUAUCUUGUUUUGUCUUCAAAGCGUCUUUCCGGAGAGCUGCAUGUUGUUGCAGAGUCAGGGGCAUUGUGAGAUUCCGCUGCAAGCAGGCAAGAGCACACAGGCUUCUCACCAUUGCUACUUUGUCUCACACUAGCACAUAACCCCACCAUGCUUUCCCCUUUCUUUAAUUUUGUUUUAAAACAAAAUUAAAGCAAUGAUAUUUGCAGAGGUGAUUUCCAAACUAUUUGGUCUCAUGGGCUCUCCACCCUGGACUGGU